GUGCUGUCUUUGGCAGCACAUUUACUAAAAUUGGAACAAUACAAAGAAGAUUGGCAUGGCCCCCGAGCAAAGAUGACACAAAAAUUCAUGAAGUUUUCCAUAUUUUU
ensembl:snRNA U6 U6 spliceosomal RNA